UACGUAGGGGGCUAGCGUUGUCCGGAUUUAUUGGGCGUAAAGAGCGUGUAGGCGGCCAAGUAGGUCCGGUGUGAAAACUCGAGGCUUAACCUCGAGAUGUCAUCGGAAACCAUUUGGCUAGAGUCCGGAAGAGGAAAGUGGAAUUCCUGGUGUAGCGGUGAAAUGCGUAGAUAUCAGGAGGAACACCUGUGGCGAAAGCGGCUCACUGGACCACAACUGACGCUGAGGCGCGAAAGCUAGGGGAGCAAACAGG
rnacentral:rRNA from 1 species